CAAGAAAGCCGAGAACUAUGAAGGAAAACUCUCUGCUGAAGACUUGCCGUAUCAUGGUUUGGGAGGACCACUCUCGGUCUCCAACUCGAAUUGGUUCGACCUUUCCAAGUAUGUCUUCGCGGCAGCCAGGGAAAUGGGUUUUAAAAAAAUUGACCCCAACGCUAAAAAGACAAUUGGAUACUUCCUGCCGGAUUAUACCACAAAGAAAGGUGAACGCCACUCAGCUGCAGAUGCCUAUCUCAAGCCCACCCUGAGCAGACCAAAUCUCUCCCUGCAGACCGAUUCGCAAGUUAUAAGGAUUCUGUUUAACAACAAAAACAGAGCUAUAGGAGUUCGCUACAUGCAAGGAGGUCGGGU